UCCGAAACAUUCCCAGCCUUUA
rnacentral:miRNA from 1 species